rnacentral:rRNA from 1 species
UACGGGGGGGGCAAGCGUUGUUCGGAAUUACUGGGCGUAAAGGGCUCGUAGGCGGCCAACUAAGUCAGACGUGAAAUCCCUCGGCUUAACCGGGGAACUGCAUCUGAUACUGGAUGGCUUGAGUUCGGGAGAGGGAUGCGGAAUUCCAGGUGUAGCGGUGAAAUGACGUAGAUAUCUGGAGGAACACCGGUGGCGAAGGCGGCAUCCUGGACCGACACUGACGCUGAGGCGCGAAAGCUAGGGGAGCAAACAGGG